UACGUAGGGUGCAAGCGUUGUCCGGAAUUAUUGGGCGUAAAGAGCUCGUAGGCGGCUCAUGAAGGCUGUGGUGAAAGUCCGGGGCUCAACCUCGGAUCGGCCGUGGCGACUCGUGGGCUGGAGCACUGUAGAGGCGGGUGGAAUUCCGGGUGUAGCGGUGGAAUGCGUAGAUAUCAGGAGGAACACCGGUGGCGAAGGCGGGUCUCUGGGCAGUAACUGACGCUGAGGAGCGAAAGCGUGGGGAGCGAACAGG
rnacentral:rRNA from 1 species